AGCAGCCGCGGUAAUUCCAGCUCCAAUAGCGUAUAUUAAAGUUGUUGCAGUUAAAAAGCUCGUAGUUGAAUUUCGGGGUUAGUAAGUUGGUCAUGCCAUUGGUAUGCACUGGCUUUACUGAUUCCUCCUUCUUGACGAACCGUGAUGUCAUUAAUUUGGUGUUGCGGGAAAUCAGGACUGUUACUUUGAAAAAAUUAGAGUGUUUAAAGCAGGCUAACGCUUGAAUACAUUAGCAUGGAAUAAUGAAAUAGGACGUUAAUCCUAUUUUGUUGGUUUCUAGGAUCGACGUAAUGAUUAAUAGGGAUAGUUGGGGGCAUUAGUAUUCAAUUGUCAGAGGUGAAAUUCUUGGAUUUAUUGAAGACUAACUACUGCGAAAGCAUUUGCCAAGGAUGUUUUCAUUAAUCAAGAACGAAAGUUAGGGGAUCGAAGACGAUCAGAUACCGUCGUAGUCUUAACCAUAAACUAUGCCGACUAGGGAUCGGAUGAUGUUAAUUCUUUAAUGACUCA
rnacentral:rRNA from 1 species